GGGGCGGCUGCCGGUGUGUCUGCUCGCCAGCACCUCGCCCCGCCCCGCCCCUGCCUCCGCCGCGGCCUCCGCCUCCGCCUCCGCCUCUUUUUCUUGCCGCCGCCGCCACUCCCCUGCCCCGGGAGCGGCCGCGGAGCCGCCGCCCAGACCGUGUCGCGCGGGAGGCGGGAUCCGCACGAAAUAAAUCAGAAUGAGUUAUGCAGAAAAACCCGAUGAAAUAACGAAAGAUGAGUGGAUGGAAAAGCUCAACAACUUACAUGUCCAGCGAGCAGACAUGAACCGUCUCAUCAUGAACUACCUGGUCACAGAGGGCUUUAAGGAAGCAGCAGAGAAGUUUCGAAUGGAAUCUGGGAUUGAACCAAGUGUAGAUCUAGAAACACUUGAUGAGAGAAUCAAGAUUCGGGAGAUGAUUCUGAAGGGUCAGAUUCAGGAGGCCAUUGCCCUGAUCAACAGCCUCCACCCAGAGCUCUUAGACACAAACCGGUAUCUGUACUUUCAUCUACAGCAACAGCACCUGAUUGAGCUGAUCCGCCAACGUGAGACUGAGGCGGCAUUGGAAUUCGCCCAGACACAGCUGGCAGAGCAGGGUGAGGAGAGCAGAGAGUGCCUCACAGAGAUGGAGCGCACACUGGCCCUGCUGGCCUUUGAUAGCCCUGAGGAGUCACCCUUCGGAGACCUCCUUCAUAUGAUGCAGAGGCAAAAGGAAAGAAUAUAUAAAUUUGUAAAUCCUUACUCAAAGAUGAUUUGUGUGCAGUUUUGGAGAGUGGAGGAACCAGAGUUCCAGAAGGACUUACACAUUUGAUGAUAAAGACACAAACAUCAUCACGAUAAUGGAUCAGGAGUCCCUUCCGGGUUGUGGCUGUCCACUCUCAGUAUGAAGAAAAGACCAAAUGAAGAGCGUCAGACAGCAAUGUGGUAGGUCACGAUGGUAGGUGUCACUGGAGUGCUUGAGUAUGAGCUCUUGCAUGUCAGUCUGAGAGGCUUGGGACCACCUUACACAUAUGACCUGCUGUCCUAGAUGCUCUCCCUCCAUUUUGGAAUGUUUUCCUCACUUUUUAUUUACCUAAAAGGACCUUAGUAUAACUUGCUAUGGCAGACUUAACGUGAGCCUGUGUGUCCAUGGUAGAGUGUCCUGGGGUAGUCUGCCUCUUCCAGAAGCCAUGGAAUGUCUGAUGGUAGAGGGGCUUGGACACUCAGAGUGGCACAGGAGGAGAACUGUGAGUGGUGAAUUGGGAUGUGUUGUCUCAGGGUGUGUGUAGAUAUUUAACAGGAUGUGGUGCUCUGUUCAUCUGCAGUUUGUCAAUGUUUCCUAGAUGGAAGGCCAAGUAAGGGUCCAGUGUGACCAUAAUACAGAAGAAAAACCUGCUAGUGGAGCAACAAACCCAUUGACACCUGGCUGUGACCAAGAGAUAUAACUGUGGAAGAUGCACGGACU